rnacentral:lncRNA from 1 species
GGGGCUUGGCCCUUUAUAGACCUACGAUGUAAUAAUACCCUAACCACAUACCCACCAUACGACUGGAAUCACACAUACACUGCCACAAGAGGUCUGCAGUGAAGGUCCCAAAGUCCCAGACAGAUCUUUCUGCUGAUGCAGCUGUUAAGAGUGUUUCAUAAACUGUGACAACACUAAGCAAAAUCAUAGAAGGAAACUCUAUGGACAAUUUCAGAUGGAGAAGAAGAAAGGACUGGAAGUUCAAUUUGGCCAUGACAAUUAGCUCCUAAGACUUGGAGUACUUUGUUACACAGCAGUAAAUAACUAAUACAGUGAUGUUUGAACAAAGACUUGAAGAAGCUGAGUGAGAAGGCCAUGCAGAUAUCUUGGAGAAGUGCAUUCCAGGCAGAGGAAAAGCCAGUGCAGAGACACUGAAGCAGGGCAUGACUGAUGUGUAUAAGGAGCAUCAUAUACAUGAUCAUCUACAGUCCACUGAGGAGAAUAGCAGACGAGAGGCCAGGUGCAGUGCAUGUAAUCCCAGCACUUUGGGAGACUGAGAUGGGAAGAUCGCUUGAGGCCAGGAGUGCAAGACCAGCCUGGGCAACACAGCAAGACCUUGAUUCUACUAAAAAAAAAAAAGGAUCCUUCAACUUCAACAAUAAUAACACAAGGGAAGGCAAAGUCUUGCUCUGUUGUCCAGGCUGGAGUGCAGUCGUGCAGUCAUGGCUCACUGUAGUCUCAACCUUCCAGGCCCAGGCAAUCCUCCCAUCUCAAACUGCCCAGUGGCUAGUACCACAGUGAAGAAAAACACUUUCUAAGGAAAUCUCUCUCUGAGCUACCAUCCUGCUAGGGAGAGCCUGAAAGCAGAAUGCUGACUUGACUAGCUCUGGUCAAUGAAAGAAAUCACCAGUGGAAAGGCUACCAGGGGGCUUUCUCAAAAGAGAGGGACAGUAAACUGCAAGAUGAACAACUCAAUGCCAUCCAGGUCUGGAUGAGAAAGAACAGUCGAGAGACUGAGUUUCAGGAGUGGAAACACUCAAAGCAUCAUCUUCCACUUUCUUCUCCGGCUGCUAGGAAGAAGGGAAAAACACAGACCUUCUGAGGACCUGCGGAGCAAACCACUGGCUUCAGAAAAGCAAACAGGGACUUCCCUCUGCGCAGCAGGAAGCAGUUAGCCUAGUCGGAGGCUUGACUGAAGAAACAAAUGAGGGAAGGCAGAAGUUGAGACGCAGCCAGUAGAGGAAACUCCGGGAGAGGCAGGCAGCGUCACUUGAAGAAAAGCUCUAUUGUGAUGGGAACAAUCACAGGAACUAAGCGGCAACAAAAUGGCUCCCCACCCCCUCUGCAAAUCCCAACUCCAUGCAAGCACUCUCCCUUCCCUCAUUUUCUUUUCUUUUUUUUUGAGAUGGAGUCUCGCUCUGUUGCCCAGGCUGGAGUGCAGUAGCGCGAUCUCGGCUCACUGCAACCUCCACCUUCUGGUUUCAAGCAAUUCUCCUGCCUCAGCCUCCCCAGUAGCUGGGACUACAGGCGUGUGCCACCACGCCUGGCUAAUUUUUUUUUUUAAUUUUUAGUAGAGACAGAGUUUCACCAUGUUGGCCAGGCUGGUCUCGAACUCCUGGCCUCAAGUGAUCCACCUGCCUCAGCCUCCCAAAGUGGUGGGAUUACAGGUGUAAGCGACCACGCCCGGCCUUUUAAAAUCGACUUGAGUCUCAUCUCCUGAAAUGCAAAAUGCAUUGGGCCUGUCUCUUACUUCUGCAUGUCUCAUAAUGCUUAGCACAGCACAAGCCCCGAGAGCGCAUCAUACACCCUGGGGUGGGGAGCUCCUGGCAGGGCUGGAUCCACUCACCAUUCCUGCCAUCCAUUGGCACUUGGCUCAGCACAGUUAGGCCAACAAGGACAUAAUAGACAAGUCCAAAACAGUACUGCACGACGUGAAUCAUGACAUUGGAGAAGACACUGACGUAGAGGCACUCGAAGAGUCUUCGUAAGCUGUGCAGCCACAGAAAUACUAGCACUAAGAAUGCAGACAGUGCCAGCUCCCCUCCUACAAUUCAGAAGGCAACAGGGUCAGCAUUUCUCUUCUGGGAUUAAUCCAAAGUUUUGUUUUUCUGUACUGUUAAGCAAAGUAUUAAAUCCCAUCUAACAUC